AGGGUUUGAUUAUGGCUCAGGAUGAACGCUGGCGGCGUGCUUAACACAUGCAAGUCGAACGAGAGAAGAUUGGUGCUUGCACUGAUCCGAUCGAGUGGCGGACGGGUGAGUAACGCGUGGGUAACCUGCCUCAUACAGGGGAAUAACAGUUGGAAACGGCUGCUAAAACCGCAUAAGCGCACGGUAUCGCAUGAUACAGUGUGAAAAACUCCGGUGGUAUGAGAUGGACCCGCGUCUGAUUAGCUAGUUGGUGAGGUAACGGCCCACCAAGGCAACGAUCAGUAGCCGGCCUGAGAGGGUGAACGGCCACAUUGGGACUGAGACACGGCCCAA
rnacentral:rRNA from 1 species